GGAGGCGUGCCAGAGUGGUCGAAUGGGCCGCACUCGAAAUGCGGUAUACCUCCAAACCAGGUAUCAGAGGUUCGAAUCCUCUCGCCUCCGCCA
rnacentral:tRNA from 1 species